rnacentral:rRNA from 1 species
AACGAACGCUGGCGGCAUGCCUAACACAUGCAAGUCGAACGAGACCUUCGGGUCUAGUGGCGCACGGGUGCGUAACGCGUGGGAACCUGCCCUUAGGUUCGGACUAACUCCCCGAAAGGGGUGCUAAUACCGGAUAAUGUCUUCGGACCAAAGAUUUAUCGCCUUUGGAUGGGCCCGCGUUGGAUUAGCUAGUUGGUAGGGUAAAAGCCUACCAAGGCGACGAUCCAUAGCUGGUCUGAGAGGAUGAUCAGCCACACUGGGACUGAGACACGGCCCAGACUCCUACGGGAGGCAGCAGUGGGGAAUAGUGGACAAUGGGCGGAAGCCUGAUCCAGCAAUGCCGCGUGAGUGAUGAAGGCCUUAGGGUUGUAAAGCUCUUUUACCCGGGAUGAUAAUGACAGUACCGGGAGAAUAAGCUCCGGCUAACUCCGUG